AUUGAACGCUGGCGGCAUGCCUUACACAUGCAAGUCGAACGGCAGCGCGGGAGCAAUCCUGGCGGCGAGUGGCGAACGGGUGAGUAAUAUAUCGGAACGUGCCCUAGAGUGGGGGAUAACUAGUCGAAAGAUUAGCUAAUACCGCAUACGAUCUACGGAUGAAAGUGGGGGAUCGCAAGACCUCAUGCUCGUGGAGCGGCCGAUAUCUGAUUAGCUAGUUGGUAGGGUAAAAGCCUACCAAGGCCACGAUCAGUAGCUGGUCUGAGAGGACGACCAUCCCCACUAGGACUGAGACACGGCCCAGACUCCUACGGGAGGCAGCAGUGGGGAAUUUUGGACAAUGGGGGAAACCCUGAUCCAGCAAUGCCGCGUGUGUGAAGAAGGCCUUCGGGUUGUAAAGCACUUUUGUCCGGAACGAAACGGGCCGAGCUAAUAUCUUGGCCUAAUGACGGUACCGGAAGAAUAAGCACCGGCUAACUACGUGCCAGCAGCCGCCGUAA
rnacentral:rRNA from 1 species